GACGAACGCUGGCGGCGUGCCUAAUACAUGCAAGUAGAACGCUGAAGGAGGAGCUUGCUUCUCUGGAUGAGUUGCGAACGGGUGAGUAACGCGUAGGUAACCUGCCUGGUAGCGGGGGAUAACUAUUGGAAACGAUAGCUAAUACCGCAUAAGAGUAGAUGUUGCAUGACAUUUGCUUAAAGGGUGCAAUUGCAUCACUACCAGAUGGACCUGCGUUGUAUUAGCUAGUUGGUGGGGUAACGGCUCACCAAGGCGACGAUACAUAGCCGACCUGAGAGGGUGAUCGGCCACACUGGGACUGAGACACGGCCCAGACUCCUACGGGAGGCAGCAGUAGGGAAUCUUCGGCAAUGGACGGAAGUCUGACCGAGCAACGCCGCGUGAGUGAAGAAGGUUUUCGGAUCGUAAAGCUCUGUUGUAAGAGAAGAACGAGUGUGAGAGUGGAAAGUUCACACUGUGACGGUAUCUUACCAGAAAGGGACGGCUAACUACGUGCCAGCAGCCGCGGUAAUACGUAGGUCCCGAGCGUUGUCCGGAUUUAUUGGGCGUAAAGCGAGCGCAGGCGGUUAGAUAAGUCUGAAGUUAAAGGCUGUGGCUUAACCAUAGUACGCUUUGGAAACUGUUUAACUUGAGUGCAAGAGGGGAGAGUGGAAUUCCAUGUGUAGCGGUGAAAUGCGUAGAUAUAUGGAGGAACACCGGUGGCGAAAGCGGCUCUCUGGCUUGUAACUGACGCUUGAGGCUCGAAAGCGUGGGGAGCAAACAGG
rnacentral:rRNA from 1 species